CAUGCUUCUAUUGACUUUGAUCUCCCAAGGGCACCUGAGGAAAGAAAACGCAAGCCCUCUCUCUCUCUCCAGCCAUGAGUCUCUUUGGUCUGGGCAGGUGAGUUGAAAGACUUAAACAUUUACUAUAAUUUUCACAAUCAGUUCAUUACGAUCGGAUCUCUUACGUUUCUCAAUCGUUAUUCGGAUAAGACUACUGAUCCAUACGCCUAUCUAGCUUUUAUUACUUUACUAAUCAGUGAAUUGUGCUCUUAGUUCUUUUUUUUUCUUUUAAUUUUUUUAUGCGAUUGAGUUCUUCGUUAGUGUUGUUGUGGGUAAUCUCUGGUGAUUUAGUAGAAUGCAAAUUCACUUCGCUGAAAAGAAAUGAAAAGGGUAUUGGUAAUUGAUUCUGAUAUUAGAUAGUUGAGAUUUGAUCUUCUUAUUUCUGUGUAGAUAUGUUUGUAUUAGUUAUGCCAACUUUUGUUUUUAUAUUGAUGAUUCUGUUUGCAUCCUUGCAAUGAAUAAAUCAUCAGUUGGAGGUGGGCAUGCACUACUAUCAUUCAACGAUUUUUUUAUAACUUUUAUUAGAAUGAUAUCAUCAUUAAAGCUUCUAAUAUGGGUAUUAAAGCUUUGACAUUAGGUGUUGGGGUCUAGUUGAAUUAUUUUGAAGAUUUGAUAGAAAAAUCUAUGGCAUCUUUUUGAGGAGCAAAUGCCCAAAUUCUCGGAUUUAAUGAAUGGCAUAUUUGCCAUUAAGUUUGAGAUAAAACUUGUCAAAAGUUGAGACCAUUGAUCCAAAUAAGUUUCUACAAUAUAAAACGCCUAAUGAUUAAUGCUAGAGUACCAACAAAACUCUUAGUUUAAGAUUACUCUUACAUGAUAAAUGCAGAGGAUAUCUCCCUUGCUUGGCGACUGCAUGUGGAUAUACUUAGAACAGUGGUAAAUGUAGUUAAUUGGCGCAGAAGAUUGAAGAAUUCAUGCUUUCUCAUUUCUUUAUUUCUUAGUAGUAUAGGCGGAAAGCUAUAUGCUUGAAGUUGUUUGGGGAUGUCUAUUAUGCAAAUGCAAUAGAUAGAAUAUAUUAUGGAAUUUGAUUCAAAAUAGGAGACAUUUGAGAAUUGGAGGUGAUUGAGAAGAGGUGAACAGCUUGCAUUUCUGGGUCCUCUUUCAACAUUGAUUGAAAACUUGUCAUUGGCGAAUGUCUUAUAGUUAGGAUUUCUCAAAUAAAAUGAAGCAACUGAUUAAAGCAACCAUGUUAAAGGCAGAGCAUGAAGAUUGCAUGUUCAAAAUUAAAAGAUUAUCAAAAUUAUGAUUAAGGUUGUCAUUGAGGAUUGGACAAUGUGUAACUAACUGGCUGAUAUAAUCAAAGAGUAACUAAUUUGGUCCUUAAGGGUUAUAGUUUGCAAGCCUCAUUGUAAAGCUUUUCGCGUAAAUAUAAAUUACUAGAUUU
rnacentral:misc_RNA from 1 species